ACCCGCGCGCUUCGCCCGCGCCCAGCCGCUCGUCCGUGCGCCCAGGCCGAGCGAACCAGCCCCGUUCGCUUCUGUUCCAGCCGCUGUUCCGCCCGCCUCCGGCCGCCUCCGGCCACCGCCAACCUCGCCGGACCUCCCCCGCGACUCCCUCGCCCUCCGCCGGCUUUCCCCCGCCGCCCUAGCCGCCGGAGCUGCUCCGUUCAGCCGCGACCAGCAGACCCACGAAGUGGGUUUCCAGCACUUCGGGCCCGCUUUUGGACCGUUUCCCGGCCCCGAACCCGAGCCGUGCUUUGGGAACAAUCGUUCCUCGCGUCGCCGCCGUCGGAUUGAUCCGAUUUGCGCGCGAUUUGGUGAGUAAUCUCACUAAUCCAGGAUUAGUGGCUAAUUAUGCUUUAAGCUGGUUUAGAUUUAAUUAAUUAUGUUUAGGUUGUUAGAUUAGAAUAAAUUAGCAAUUAUUAGUCAAUUGUGAUGUGAUUUAGAUAAAUUGAUUGUGUAAUUAGCAAGUAGACGUGGUCUACUAAUUAUUGGAAGUGCCUCGGGAUUGUUCCCGACCCUUAGUGGGCUCCAAUUAGGCUUUUCGGGCCUAAGUGGAUAUUUUUAGUAUUUAAAUAUUAAUUUUCGAAAUUAAAUUUAAUAAUUAAUUAUUUUCCGAAAAUUCAACUGAGAUGAUCUGGAACCGGAAAAUUAUGCUGAUGAGCGUGGUGAAGUCCGUUUAUUUAGUCGGGCUUUAUUUUGAGCUAAAUUGAAUUUUUAAUAAUAAUUAUUUAAUUUUCAAAAUUAAUUAUUUAAUUAAUUAUUUUUCAGAAAUUAUGAGGUUGAUGGUUGACGACCGAAAUCUCGUGCUGAUCGUCGUGGCGCAGUUCGUUUAUUUAUUUGAGCUCUACGUUGUAUGGAAUUAAAUAAAUUGUGAUAUUUUGGGGAUUUACCC
rnacentral:lncRNA from 1 species